GUGCAAGCAUGGAGACAUGAGGAUGGAUGUUUUUGAAGAUUAGAAGGCUAGAAAUCAGUAUGUGUGUGUGUGCAAGUGUGUUGACCUACAACUACAAACACUCAUCCACUACACCCAUUACAUCCACUCAUUACCAAACAUCUACCCACUACACCCAUUACAUCUACUCAUUACCAAACACUCAUCCACUACACCUAUUACAUCCACUCAUUACCAAACACUCAUCCACUACACCCAUUACAUCCACUCAUUACCAAACA
rnacentral:lncRNA from 1 species